UCGCCCCAUGCUCCAGAAUAGCUCUUGGAAACGGGUGGUAAUGCUGGAUGCUCCAACUUGACGCAUGUCUUGUUGGGAAAGUGUUUAGUGGCAUGGGAUGGGGUCGCGUCCUAUCAGCUUGUAGGCGGGGUAAUGGCCCACCUAGGCUUCGACGGGUAGCCGGCCUGAGAGGGCGGACGGCCACAUUGGGACUGAGAUACGGCCCAGACUCCUACGGGAGGCAGCAGCU
rnacentral:rRNA from 1 species